GACGAACGCUGGCGGCGUGCCUAAUACAUGCAAGUAGAACGCUGAAGGAGGAGCUUGCUUCUCCGGAUGAGUUGCGAACGGGUGAGUAACGCGUAGGUAACCUGCCUGGUAGCGGGGGAUAACUAUUGGAAACGAUAGCUAAUACCGCAUAAGAGUAGAUGUCGCAUGACAUUUGCUUAAAAGGUGCAACUGCACCACUACCAGAUGGACCUGCGUUGUAUUAGCUAGUUGGUGAGGUAACGGCUCACCAAGGCAACGAUACAUAGCCGACCUGAGAGGGUGAUCGGCCACACUGGGACUGAGACACGGCCCAGACUCCUACGGGAGGCAGCAGUAGGGAAUCUUCGGCAAUGGACGGAAGUCUGACCGAGCAACGCAGCGUGAGUGAAGAAGGUUUUCGGAUCGCAAAGCUCUGUUGUAAGAGAAGAACGAGUGUGAGAGUGGAAAGUUCACACUGUGACGGUAUCUUACCAGAAAGGGACGGCUAACUACGUG
rnacentral:rRNA from 1 species